rnacentral:rRNA from 1 species
ACGCUCGACACCUACGGGGAGGCAGCAGUGGGGAAUAUUGCACAAUGGGGGAAACCCGUGAUGCAGCGACGCCGCGUGGAGGAAGAAGGUCUUCGGAUUGUAAACUCCUGUUGUUGGGGAAAAAGAGGAUGGUACCCAACAAGGAAGUGACGGCUAACUACGUGUCAGCAGCCGCGGUAAUCUGAGCGGGCUGGCAAGGC